CCUACGGGUGGCAGCAGUGAGGAAUAUUGGGCAAUGGGCGGAAGCCUGAACCAGCCAAGCCGCGUGCAGGAUGACGGCCCUACGGGUUGUAAACUGUUUGUAUACGGGAAUAACGCGCCUUACGUGUAGGGCUUUGCAUGUACCGUAUGAAUAAGGACCGACCAAUUUCGUGCCAGCAGCCGCGGUAAUACGGAAGGUCCGGGCGUUAUCCGGAUUUAUGUGGUUGAAAGGAAGCGUAGGCCGCAUGUCAAGUUUGCUGUGAAAUGUCCGGGCUCAACCCGGGCCUUGCAACUCGAACUGGCGUGGUUGAGGCAGCGGAAGGGAGGUGGAAGUCGUGGGGUAGCGGUGAAAUGCUGAGAUAUCACGAAGAAACACGAUUGCGAAGGCAGCUCACUGGACUGCAACUGACACUGAGGCUCGAAAGUGUGGGUAUCAAACAGGAUUAGAUACCCGAGUAGUC
rnacentral:rRNA from 1 species